rnacentral:rRNA from 1 species
UACAGAGGGUGCAAGCGUUGUUCGGAAUUACUGGGCGUAAAGGGCUCGUAGGCGGCCAACUAAGUCGGAUGUGAAAUCCCCAGGCUUAACCUGGGAACUGCAUCCGAUACUGGAUGGCUUGAAUCCGGGAGAGGGAUGCAGAAUUCCAGGUGUAGCGGUGAAAUGCGUAGAUAUCGGGAGGAACACCUGUGGCGAAAGCGGCGCACUGGACCACAACUGACGCUGAGGCGCGAAAGCUAGGGGAGCAAACAGG